rnacentral:rRNA from 1 species
GAUGAACGCUGGCGGCGUGCCUAAUACAUGCAAGUCGAGCGAACGGACGAGAAGCUUGCUUCUCUGAUGUUAGCGGCGGACGGGUGAGUAACACGUGGAUAACCUACCUAUAAGACUGGGAUAACUUCGGGGAACCGUAGCUAAUACCGGAUAAUAUUUUGAACCGCAUGGUUCAAAAGUGAAAGACGGUCUUGCUGUCACUCAUUGAUGGAUCCGCGCUGCAUUAGCUAGUUGGUAAGGUAACGGCUUACCAAGGCAACGAUGCAUAGCCGACCUGAGAGGGUGAUCGGCCACACUGGAUCUGAGACACGGUCCAGACUCCUACGGGAGGCAGCAGUAGGGAAUCUUCCGCAAUGGGCGAGAGCCUGACGGAGCAACGCCGCGUGAGUGAUGAAGGUCUUCGGAUCGUAAAACUCUGUUAUUAGGGAAGAACAUAUGUGUAAGUAACUGUGCACAUCUUGACGGUACCUAAUCAGAAAGCCACGGCUAACUACGUG